rnacentral:rRNA from 1 species
GACGAACGCUGGCGGCGUGCUUAACACAUGCAAGUCGAGCGGGAAACUUCGGUUUCCAGCGGCGGACGGGUGAGUAACACGUGGGCAACCUGCCUCACAAUGAGGGAUAGCCUUCCGAAAGGAAGAUUAAUACCUCAUAACACAAGAGAAACGCAUGUUUCUCUUGCCAAAGAAUUUCGUUGUGAGAUGGGCCCGCGGCGCAUUAGCUUGUUGGUGAGGUAACGGCUCACCAAGGCUGCGAUGCGUAGCCGACCUGAGAGGGUGAUCGGCCACAUUGGAACUGAGACACGGUCCAGACUCCUACGGGAGGCAGCAGUGGGGAAUAUUGCACAAUGGAGGAAACUCUGAUGCAGCAACGCCGCGUGAGUGAUGAAGGUCUUCGGAUUGUAAAGCUCUGUCUUCUGGGACGAUAAUGACGGUACCAGAGGAGGAAGCCACGGCUAACUACGUGCCAGCAGCCGCCGUAACAC